rnacentral:rRNA from 1 species
UCGAACGAGANUCGACGGGUGGUAACACCGGUUGAUUCUAGUGGCGAAAGGGUGAGUAACACGUGGGUAAUUUGCCCUGAAGUUGGGGAUAACUCAUUGAAAGGUGAGCUAAUACCGAAUGUGCAUGCCCGAGAGCAUUCUCGGGUGUGCGAAGCUGGGGACCGCAAGGCCUGGCGCUUCAGGAUAAGCCCGCGCCCUAUCAGCUUGUUGGCGGGGUAACGGCCCACCAAGGCGAUGACGGGUAGCUGGUUUGAGAGGAUGGUCAGCCACACUGGAACUGAGUCACGGUCCAGACACCUACGGGUGGCAGCAGUCGAGAAUCAUUCACAAUGGGCGAAAGCCUGAUGGUGCGACGCCGCGUGGGGGAUGAAGGUCCUAGGAUCGUAAACCCCUGUCAUUCACAAACAAACCGUUCCGGUGAACAGCCGGGACGCUGAUAGUCGUGGAAGAGGAAGGGACGGCUAACUCCGUGCCAGCAGCCGCGGUAAUACGGGGGUCCCAAGCGUUGUUCGGAUUUACCGGGCGUAAAGAGUGCGUAGGCGGCGGGAUCAGUUUGGCGUGAAAGCUUCGGGCUCAACCCGGAAAAUGCGCUGAAUACUAUCCCGCUCGAGGAUCGGAGAGGAGACCGGAAUUCUUGGUGUAGCAGUGAAAUGCGUAGAUAUCAAGAGGAGCACCGAUGGCGAAGGCAGGUCUCUGGACGACUCCUGACGCUGANGCACGAAAGCUAGGGGAGCGAACAGGAUUAGAUACCCUGGUAGUCCUAGCCGUAAACGGUGCGCAUUUGCUGUGGGCGGAUUCGACCCCGUCCGUGGCGAANCUAACGCGUUAAAUGCGCCGCCUGGGGGAGUACGGUCNNNAGGCUAA